UUGGUCUUGGACUCACUCUGUAGGCCAAACACACCUCUCUUCUUUAAAAAAACAAACAAACAUGGAGCUUCUGGUAUUUUGUUGUAGCAACUAAAAAUGCACUAAUAUUUGUAGAGUGCCCCGGAGUCUGCAGGGCUGUAGAGGAAUUGCCAGAGGACUGAACAGAAUGGCUCGCUCGGACUCCGAGCAGCAAUGAGAGAGAAGAUCAGUUUCCUACUGUGUCUAACACCUACAGAAUUUUUAGAAGGGUGAUGACGAGAAGAUUUUUCUCUGUGAACAACGUUCAAAUAUCUGAAGACCUGUGAACAAUUCUUAGGGCAAAGAUGUCACCCGGAUUUCUGAAUUCAUUCACAGAAGAAGUUAAGACCCAAGAUUUGGGCAUUAGGUCAUUUAAAAAGAUCACACAAGAAUUCCUGUUGGUCUGAACGGACUACGCUGACCUGCCGCCACAAACCCCUUCAGACUCCAUGGCUUCUCUCUCCUUGGUGCUUCAUGCUCACAGCAAAGUCACGAGCUUCACACCCAAGAGGUCGACGGAGCAGCUGUUAGCUGGAAUGCAUAGUGCAUGUGGACCAGCAACAGAUGUAGAGUGGUCUUUAUGUAAAGGCCAGUUCCCGUGGGGCACGUGUUUAGACACCAACCAUACUGAAUCACACAGUCGUCUCUAGGCCUUCUGGUUUCAUCAUCUGAGUGGGUUGUUAUAUUUGUUUCCUGGAGAAAUCAUGACAAAUAAUCAUAAACUUGGCUGCUUAAAAGAACAUAAAUAAAGGCUCACAGUUUCUGGAA